rnacentral:rRNA from 1 species
AGGAUCAUUGUCGAAUCUGCAAGGCAGAACGACCUGUGAACAUGUAAAUACAACCCGGUGAUGGGGAUAUGGUCAUUGGUCCUUAUCCCCUUCCCCUCCCUGCAUGCGUGUGUGGAGCUCCGUUUGGGGUGCCAUGGAUGUCAUGUUGGGAUUUAACAAACCCCGGCACGGAAUGUGCCAAGGAAAACAAAAGUGAGAAGGACUCGUCUUGUCUUGCCCCGUUCGCGGUGUGCAAGCGGGUUGUGGCCUCUUUGUAAUUAAAAACGACUCUCGGCAACGGAUAUCUCGGCUCACGCAUCGAUGAAGAACGUAGCAAAAUGCGAUACUUGGUGUGAAUUGCAGAAUCCCGUGAACCAUCGAGUUUUUGAACGCAAGUUGCGCCCGAAGCCAUCCGGCCGAGGGCACGCCUGCCUGGGCGUCACGCUUCGCGUCGCCCCCCACCAUAUAAUACCCAACGGGUAGUCAUGGUGUUUGGGGCGGAGAUUGGCCUCCCGUACUUGUGAUGCGGUUGGCCUAAAAAUGAGUCCCCUUCAGCGGACGCACGACUAGUGGUGGUUGAACAGACCCUCGUCCUUAUCGUGUGUCGUGAGCUGCUAGGGAAGCCCUCACCAAAGACCCCAUUGCAUUGUUUUUUGGACGGUGCUUCGACCGCG